rnacentral:rRNA from 1 species
AUUGAACGCUGGCGGCAGGCCUAACACAUGCAAGUCGAACGGUAACAGGAAGAAGCUUGCUUCUUUGCUGACGAGUGGCGGACGGGUGAGUAAUGUCUGGGAAACUGCCUGAUGGAGGGGGAUAACUACUGGAAACGGUAGCUAAUACCGCAUAAUGUCGCAAGACCAAAGAGGGGGGCCUUCGGGCCUCUUGCCAUCGGAUGUGCCCAGAUGGGAUUAGCUAGUAGGUGGGGUACCGGCUCACCUAGGCGACGAUCCCCAGCUGGUCUGAGAGGAUGACCCGCCACACGGGAACGUAGACACGGUCCAGACUCCUACGGGAGGCCGCAGUGGGGAAUAUUGCACAAUGGGCGCAAGCCUGAUGCAGCGAUGCCGCGUGUAUGAAGAAGGCCUUCGGGUUGUAAAGUACUUUCAGCGGGGAGGAAGGGAGUAAAGUUAAUACCUUUGCUUAUUGACGUUACCCGCAGAAGAAGCACCGGCUAACUCCGUG